rnacentral:misc_RNA from 1 species
AUUUAAAAAUUAGGGGUGUUACAUAGGCCUUUGAAUCUUUCUUCUUGUUUUCUCUCAAUUUGAUCUCCUCAUCUUGAUCAUUGUAGCCAUUUUCCACUAAGUCCCAUAGCUCAUGUGACUUGAACAAUGUUUUCAUUUUGAUACUCCAGAACUCGUAGUUGUCUCCUUUAAAAAUUAGCAUGGAAGGUUGGGCUAUACUCACUGUACUGCCGUUGUUAGCCAUGAAGAAAUGCCCAAGCUAUGAAAGUAACCAAGUUCUGAUACCAAAUGUUUAGUUUUAUGGGGAGAACUAAUGCCAGUAACAGAUCAAAGAAAAUAUCUGAAAGUGAAGAAAGUGUUUUUGAAUUGAAUUGCAGAACAAGACUGAUGCUAAUGCCUAUUUAUAGGCUUACAAAUAACUAAAUUGUAGAAAAAA